AUACGAAGGGGGCUAGCGUUGCUCGGAAUUACUGGGCGUAAAGGGCGCGUAGGCGGCUCUGUUAGUCAGGCGUGAAAUUCCUGGGCUUAACCUGGGGACUGCGCUUGAUACUGCGGAGCUUGAGGCCGAGAGAGGGUGGUGGAAUUCCCAGUGUAGAGGUGAAAUUCGUAGAUAUUGGGAAGAACACCGGUGGCGAAGGCGACCACCUGGCUCGGUACUGACGCUGAGGCGCGACAGCGUGGGGAGCAAACAGGAUUAGAUACCCUGGUAGUCCACGCCGUAAACGAUGUGUGCUGGAUGUUGGGGCUCCUAGAGUCUCAGUGUCGUAGCUAACGCGGUAAGCACACCGCCUGGGGAGUACGGCCGCAAGGUUGA
rnacentral:rRNA from 1 species